rnacentral:rRNA from 1 species
CGGGUGAGUAAUGCCUAGGAAUCUGCCUGGUAGUGGGGGACAACGUUUCGAAAGGAACGCUAAUACCGCAUACGUCCUACGGGAGAAAGCAGGGGACCUUCGGGCCUUGCGCUAUCAGAUGAGCCUAGGUCGGAUUAGCUAGUUUGUGAGGUAAUGGCUCACCAAGGCGACGAUCCGUAACUGGUCUGAGAGGAUGAUCAGUCACACUGGAACUGAGACACGGUCCAG